GUGGGGAAUAUUGGACAAUGGGCGAAAGCCUGAUCCAGCCAUGCCGCGUGUGUGAAGAAGGCCUUUUGGUUGUAAAGCACUUUAAGCGAGGAGGAGGCUACUUAGAUUAAUACUCUAGGAUAGUGGACGUUACUCGCAGAAUAAGCACCGGCUAACUCUGUGCCAGCAGCCGCGGUAAUACAGAGGGUGCGAGCGUUAAUCGGAUUUACUGGGCGUAAAGCGUGCGUAGGCGGCUUUUUAAGUCGGAUGUGAAAUCCCUGAGCUUAACUUAGGAAUUGCAUUCGAUACUGGGAAGCUAGAGUAUGGGAGAGGAUGGUAGAAUUCCAGGUGUAGCGGUGAAAUGCGUAGAGAUCUGGAGGAAUACCGAUGGCGAAGGCAGCCAUCUGGCCUAAUACUGACGCUGAGGUACGAAAGCAUGGGGAGCAAACAGGAUUAGAAACCCCGGUAGUCC
rnacentral:rRNA from 1 species